rnacentral:rRNA from 1 species
CGCCAGACUCCUACGGGAGGCAGCAGUGGGGAAUAUUGCACAAUGGGGGAAACCCUGAUGCAGCGACGCCGCGUGAGCGAUGAAGUAUUUCGGUAUGUAAAGCUCUAUCAGCAGGGAAGAAGAUGACGGUACCUGACUAAGAAGCCCCGGCUAACUACGUGCCAGCAGCCGCGGUAAUACGUAGGGGGCAAGCGUUAUCCGGAUUUACUGGGUGUAAAGGGAGCGUAGACGGCGGCGCAAGCCAGAUGUGAAAGCCCGGGGCUCAACUCCGGGACUGCAUUUGGAACUGUGUGGCUGGAGUGUCGGAGAGGCAGGCGGAAUUCCUAGUGUAGCGGUGAAAUGCGUAGAUAUUAGGAGGAACACCAGUGGCGAAGGCGGCCUGCUGGACGAUGACUGACGUUGAGGCUCGAAAGCGUGGGGAGCAAACAGGAUUAGAUACCCGGGUA